rnacentral:rRNA from 1 species
CGGGANNNNCCACCUUUCGAGGCGCUCCCGGGGUCGGAGUGACGCACUUCUCCCCCGGUAAAACGUCGCGAUCCGUCGGUCGCCGGCCUAAGGGGGGGGGUGGAGCCUGUCGCCGCAAGACCCCGGGGAUCCCGGCCGGGUGCCCGACGGUAUGAAGAGAGGAAGGAGUCGGCGCGCCUAGGCNGUCCGCCCCUCCGCAAGCGCCCGCGGGAGUCGGAGUCGGGCCCGGCCCGGUCUGCCUUCAGCGGGGGGCUGUUUGCAGGAGGUGUGCUCGGA